rnacentral:rRNA from 1 species
UACGAAGGGGGCUAGCGUUGCUCGGAUUGACUGGGCGUAAAGGGCGCGUAGGCGGUUCGUACAGUCAGACGUGAAAUCCUGGGCUCAACCUGGGGGCUGCGUUUGAUACGUGCGGACUUGAGUGCGGAAGAGGGUCGUGGAAUUCCCAGUGUAGAGGUGAAAUUCGUAGAUAUUGGGAAGAACACCGGUGGCGAAGGCGGCGACCUGGUCCGAUACUGACGCUGAGGCGCGAAAGCGUGGGGAGCAAACAGG